UCCAUGUUUCCUGGGGUCAUGUCAUGACUAGUGGGUAUGGCGGGGGAACCCUCUCCGUCAGCACCUGGAAGCAAAACUUCGGCUUGCUUGGAGACUCCAGCUAUACAUUAGAACCGUGGUUCCUGACACCAGUGCCCGGACGACCAGCUCGUGGCACCCCUGAUGACCACUACAACAAGGCCCACACCGCCAUGCGCAAUGUUGUGGAGUGGUGCAUCGCUGUAAGCUUGUGCACAGCUGCUCAAGCAUCAUUGCUGCUUGUGCAGCUCUGCACGACAUUGCGUUGGCGGCACAUGAGCCUGUUCUCGAAGGAAACGAUGACGACACCGACGAUGCUGACUGCUGCCAGCAGCAGCUGAGCUACCACCACCACCACCACCACAACGGGAGCCAGCAGCAGCGCAACCGUGUAGUGAACCUGUUUCGAGAACUACAGGGCCUGCAUGCUUGAGCACCUGCGCAGAGUACGCCGCCGCCUGCAACGACCUCGGCAGCAUUGCGUGGUGCCUUCCGCUGCAAUGAGGGCCCGGGCGAGGGUACCAACGCCUUGCAAUUUGUGGACCGCGUCACCGAGAAGUUGAACCUGGCGCAGCUUUCCAAUGAUGCCUGGCCCUGCCGCCUGGUGUUUGCGGCUAGUAACUCCAGCGCCUCGGCCUGCCGGUUGCCCCCAUCUCGCAGCUGCGGCAUGAGCUGGAAACCAAGAAAUGUGUUGCCAUUAUCAUCUAUAAAUUUCCUGCUACCGACUCUUCGCUGGAAGCUUCUGUUCGUGAAGAGUUUCAGUGUGUGCAACAAUUUCCUCUCUGUUGAAAAUCCACUGACCCAACGGCAUCCAUGAAUGGUGCUUGGUUCACCGCACAACCGCACCCCAAGUGCAGGGUAGCCAACCGAGCCAAAGCUUGGUUAACCUCCCUGCCUUUCCUCUUCGUAUCUCUCUCUCUCUCAACGCACUUCGUUUGGACGGACCAAAGCGGUGCCGGAAUUCAUUUUCGCUCAUCUCAUCAAACGCAUCUCACGCCUCUAACCAUCUCUGCAUGAGAAGCAACCAAACAGCCCUUUUCAGGGCUACACAAUCGUUUGCCCGGCUUUACGCGAUGACUGACACAAUCUCCUUCCGAAACCCUAGCUGCUGCAGUAUGCAAAACAUACAGCAAGCAGGUGUAACACAGGUGCAAACAUGUGCAUUUGUGUAUGAUGGUAUGUGAAAAAGUUAUAUAACGAGCUUGCUUUUUGAACAGUAUAUUUAGCAAUAGCACAUUUUCAGUUUCACUUUUGAAGCA